GAUGAAGAACGCAGCGAAAUGCGAUAAGUAAUGUGAAUUGCAGAAUUCAGUGAAUCAUCGAAUCUUUGAACGCUCAUUGCGCCCGCCAGUAUUCUGGCGGGCAUGCCUGUCUGAGCGUCAUUUCAACCCUCAUGCCCCUAGGGCGUGGUGUUGGGGAUCGGCCAAAGCCCGCGAGGGACGGCCGGCCCCUAAAUCUAGUGGCGGACCCGUCGUGGCCUCCUCUGCGAAGUAGUGAUAUUCCGCAUCGGAGAGCGACGAGCCCCUGCCGUUAAACCCCCAACUUUCCAAGGUUGACCUCAGAUCAGGUAGGAAUACCCGCUGAACUUAAGCAUAUCAAUAAGCGGAGGA
rnacentral:misc_RNA from 1 species